UAUAUAAUACAAUUAUUCUUUUAAUAGGAUUUGAUAACAUACUUACUUUAUUAAUUAAAAGUUUUAUUCUUGCUUAAUUAUUUAUUAUAGGAUUGUAUCAUAUACAUUAAUUUAUAUUAAUUAACUUAUUGUAGUGGUAAUUAUUAUUAUUUAAUGCAAGUUAGAUAUAGCAAUUUCUUUAUUUCCGGUUAAAAUUGUGCCAGCCACCGCGGUUAUACGUGAGGAGUAUAUAAAUAUUAUUGGUUUAGUAGUUAAAUUUUAGUUUCUUUAAUUUUAAAAUUUUUAGGUGAAAUUUUAAUUUUAUUAUAAAAGACAUUUUUGAAGCUAUGAAAUUUAUUUUAUAAACAAGGAUUAGAUACCCUUUUAUUUUAAAUGUAAAUAUAAGCCUGGGUAGUAAUAGUUAUGUUCUUGAAACCCAAAGAAUUUGGCGGUAUUUUAUUCUUUUUAGAGGAAUCUGUCCUAUAAUUGAUAUUCCACGAAGGUUAAUUACUUAUUUUAGUAUUCAAUUUGUAUACCUCCGUCAUAAGAUUAUCUUUUUAGAGUAAAUAUUCUUAGUAUAAGAAAUAUAAGAUGUCAGGUCAAGGUGCAGUUUAUAAAUAAGUAGAGAUGGAUUACAAUAAAUUUAUUUAAACGGAUUAUUAAUAUUAUCAUUAUUAUGAAGGUGGAUUUAAAAGUAAAAUUAUUUCCUUAUUAAUUUGAUUUUGGCUCUGAAAUAUGUACACAUCGCCCGUCACUCUUAUUAUAAAAUAAGAUAAGUCGUAACAUAGUAGAGGUACCGGAAGGUGUUUCUAGAAAGUAU
rnacentral:ncRNA from 1 species